rnacentral:rRNA from 1 species
CAGUGGGGAAUAUUGCACAAUGGGCGCAAGCCUGAUGCAGCCAUGCCGCGUGUAUGAAGAAGGCCUUCGGGUUGUAAAGUACUUUCAGCAGUGAGGAAGGGGGUAUCGUUAAUAGCGGUAUCUUUUGACGUUAGCUGCAGAAGAAGCACCGGCUAACUCCGUGCCAGCAGCCGCGGUAAUACGGAGGGUGCGAGCGUUAAUCGGAAUUACUGGGCGUAAAGCGCAUGCAGGUGGUUUGUUAAGUCAGAUGUGAAAGCCCGGGGCUCAACCUCGGAAUUGCAUUUGAAACUGGCAGGCUAGAGUACUGUAGAGGGGGGUAGAAUUUCAGGUGUAGCGGUGAAAUGCGUAGAGAUCUGAAGGAAUACCGGUGGCGAAGGCGGCCCCCUGGACAGAUACUGACACUCAGAUGCGAAAGCGUGGGGAGCAAACAGGAUUAGAUACCCUGGUAGUCCACGCCGUAAACGAUGUCUACUUGGAGGUUGUGGCCUUGAGCCGUGGCUUUCGGAGCUAACGCGUUAAGUAGA